AGAGUUUGAUCAUGGCUCAGAACGAACGCUGGCGGCGUGCUUAACACAUGCAAGUCGAACGAGAAAGGAUUCUUCGGAAUCCGAGUAAAGUGGCGCACGGGCGAGUAACGCGUAGAUAAUCUAUCCUUGUGUUUGGGAUAACCCUUCGAAAGGGGGACUAAUACCGGAUACAUAGAUACCUGUAGGGGUAUCUAGGAAAGGUGGCCUCUAUUUAUAAGCUAUCGCACGGGGAGGAGUCUGCGUACCAUUAGCUAGUUGGUGGGGUAAGAGCUUACCAAGGCAACUAUGGUUAGCGGGUCUGAGAGGAUGAUCCGUCACACUGGCACUGAAACACGGGCCAGACUCCUACGGGAGGCAGCAGUGAGGAAUAUUGCGCAAUGGGGGAAACCCUGACGCAGCGACGCCGCGUGAGUGAGGAAGGCCUUCGGGUCGUAAAGCUCUGUCAGUAGGGAAGAAGUGCAUAUAGGUUAAUACCCUUUAUGUUUGACGGUACCUGCAAAGGAAGCACCGGCUAACUCCGUGCCAGCAGCCGCGGUAAUACGGAGGGUGCGAGCGUUGUUCGGAAUCACUGGGCGUAAAGGGCGCGCAGGCGGUUUUACAAGUCAGAUGUGAAAGCCUACGGCUCAACCGUGGAAGUGCAUUUGAAACUGUAAGACUUGAGUACCAGAGGGGGUAGUGGAAUUCCCGGUGUAGAGGUGAAAUUCGUAGAUAUCGGGAGGAAUACCGGUGGCGAAGGCGACUACCUGGCUGGAUACUGACGCCGAGGCGCGAAAGCGUGGGGAGCAAACAGGAUUAGAUACCCUGGUAGUCCACGCCGUAAACGAUGUGAACUAGAUGUUGGAGGUGUUGAUCCCUUCGGUGUCGGAGCUAACGCAUUAAGUUCACCGCCUGGGGAGUACGGUCGCAAGAUUAAAACUCAAAGGAAUUGACGGGGGCCCGCACAAGCGGUGGAGUAUGUGGUUUAAUUCGAUGCAACGCGAAGAACCUUACCUGUCUUGACAUCCCGAGGAUCUCCUGGAAACAGGAGAGUGCUUUCAUUAGAGAGAACUUGGUGACAGGUGCUGCAUGGCUGUCGUCAGCUCGUGUCGUGAGAUGUUGGGUUAAGUCCCGCAACGAGCGCAACCCUCGCCUUUAGUUGCCAUCAGGUUAAGCUGGGCACUCUAGAGGGACUGCCGGUGUUAAACCGGAGGAAGGUGGGGAUGACGUCAAGUCCUCAUGGCCUUUAUGACCAGGGCUACACACGUACUACAAUGGCCGGUACAAAGGGCAGCGAACUAGCGAUAGUAAGCGAAUCCCGAAAAGCCGGUCUCAGUCCGGAUAGGAGUCUGCAACUCGACUCCUUGAAGUUGGAAUCGCUAGUAAUCGUGGAUCAGCAUGCCACGGUGAAUACGUUCCCGGGCCUUGUACGCACCGCCCGUCACACCACGGGAGUUGGUUGUUCCAGAAGCAGUUGAGCUAACCUUAGGGAGGCAGGCUGCCAAGGAAUGGCUGGUAACUGGGGUGAAGUCGUAACAAGGUA
rnacentral:rRNA from 1 species